UACGUAGGGGGCAAGCGGUUGUCCGGAUUUAUUGGGCGUAAAGAGCGUGUAGGCGGCCAGAUAGGUCAGCUGUGAAAACUCGAGGCUCAACCUCGAGAUGUCGGCUGAAACCAUCUGGCUAGAGUCCGGAAGAGGAGAAUGGAAUUCCCGGUGUAGCGGUGAAAUGCGCAGAUAUCGGGAAGAACACCCGUGGCGAAGGCGGUUCUCUGGGACGGUACUGACGCUGAGACGCGAAAGCGUGGGGAGCGAACAGG
rnacentral:rRNA from 1 species